rnacentral:lncRNA from 1 species
AUCCAAAAUCUAUAAAGAACUCACCAAACUCCACACCCGAAAAACAAAUAAUCAAUCCAGUGAAGAAAUGGGCAGAAAACAUGAAUAUUCAACUGGUAAUAGCAGAACUCUGUGGGCGAGACGGGGAAGAGCAGGGGUUGGGGGCCUCGUCACCAGCCGCUGCCAUUGGCCGAGCUGCCGGAGAGGGGCGCUCGCAGUUGUCGCUGGGGUCUGGCCUUGGCCGCGGCGGUUGGAGCGGUGGAGCCGGCGCGCCAGAGCAACCAUGCAGCAGCGGGCGCGGCGGGCGCGGGGGGCCCGGGGACCUGCGGGGAUGCGUCUGAUGCUUUGCUUCCUGCUGUUGAGCAGCUGCCCUGGGGGCUGGGACGCCAUUAGUCCCCACGGCUGUCUCUUUGCCCGAAGACUCUGCUCUUACCUGGAAGUCUGUGCCAAGGGACUGUUCUGGAAAGAUGAUGUCACUCAAGAUGUAAAGACCCAGAAGAUGGAGCACAUGCCCAGGCUCCACGCCUCAGAGACCUACAUGAGGGAUGGGUAGACAGCCUUUCCCACCAAAACCACCACACUGAGAGCCCAGUGACCAAGGUGAACAAGGAACAAUGCUUGAACUCUAGAAUGGUUUCGGAGGUCCUGAACCAAGCAAGAGAUGACCAACCACAGCAAGGCCCCACUGCAGGUGAGGGCCUGCCCUUGUCCAGGAACGCUGAGCCCACCAAGGGCCUGUUUACAGAGGGAGACAGGGUGAAGGAGGGGAUAGACAUUGGUUGAUAAGGAAUGAUUUCACUGAGACUGAUGGAGAACCUUCUGGAAGAGAGGGCCUGGAGGAUGGAAAAGAACAGAGCCAGCCCAAUCUUCACCCUGCCACUGCCCAGCCGUGACCUUGGACACAUUACCUAGGCUCUUCAAGUCCCUUCUUCCACAUCUGUAAAAUGGGAAUGGUAAUAAAGACGACCCUUCCGGUGUUGCUGUGUGGAUC